UAGGGAACCUUCCGGGGUUUUUUUUGUUGUUUUUUUAGGAGGGAGCCUUGGAUGUAGAGUUUAACAAAGGCAGUUUUCUUCUCUGUGGAAAUUGAGACGUGCAGGAAUCAACUCCAGUGUUGGCUUAGGGCAGUUACUAAAUGGGCUUCCAUGCAGGAAGGAAUUUGCUCCAUUGGCCUACGUAAAUCCCUGAUGUCCUUGCCACCAAUUGAGGUGACUGCUCUCAUUGGUAUCUAUUCCAAAGGAUACUGCUAUUCAACUCAGGACCCACCCACUUAACAUCUCCAGUCAAUAUUUGGCCCGUGGCUGCUUGAUGUUGCUGAAUGUCCUCAAAUUUGUGGUAUCCGGUCGUCACUGAGUUUCGUAUGUGGGUGCUCCUUAACUCAGGCUUGGCAGCAAUCACUGCUCAUCUCAGUGCCAGGCCAUUUCAGCUGAUGGCUCAACUGAUGCCCCUCUAUUGUUUUGAGACUGCACAUCUGCAAGUUGCUUUGCAGUCCACUUCCACUUUAGCUUCUCUUUUUCACCAUCCUGUCUCCAACUUUAUCUGUAGGCAUCGAUUCCUCCUCCUGUUCUAUGCUGGGGUCUUGCUACCUUCGCUGCCACCUGCUUUCCAUGUUUGCACACUGAAAGGGCAAGGAAGUCCCACAACACGCCCAUGCUGCCAAAUAUAAAUUACUACAGAUGGAGAUCAGUCUUUUAUUGACUGCAGUUCUGAAAGAUGCCUUUUAAAGUAAACUGAAGUACAAUCUUUAACAUAAGUAAAAGUGAAGAGCGGCUGAGAUGAAGGCAGGUGAUCUGCUAUGACGAUCUCUUAUGGGACCAGGCAAAAGAUUAUAUUUAACUGAAACAGCUGGCAAUUUCCUUUUGACAAUCAAGUCGAUACCCUUUUAGUCGAGCUCAACCUGUCUCUGUAUUUCCUGUUUUUAACCCAGUUAACAAAACCGCUUGAAUAACAUUAUUUUCUGCAGGAAACUUCAGUUUCAGCUUUUCCAACAUUCCCCUUUGGGCUUUUGUCAAUGAUGCCCCAACUAUGCAAAUUUUAUAGGCAAAAUGCUUAAAUAUAAUCGGGGGGUGCGCAAUCUUAUUGUGUGCUUGUAUAUACUAAAGGCUUAAGAAUGCUUAUGGAUUUAUGUCUCGACAUCCCACCGUAGAAGUGAACAAAGAAACGUUCCUUCGAUCAGCUUUGGAGGUCAUAUGUGAUAACCUUCAAAGCUGAUUGCAGUGCUGGAAUACAAGUAUGGCUUCAGCAACAAUAAAAACAGCAGCACAGGAUUAUUAGACUUUAACCUCUGAGAAAUGGUGGAAUAGUGCUCUGUAGUGCUGAAUUGAAUCUUUGAGGAUGUGGAAGAUUCUAGCAGCUCCACUUGCAGAAGUAGGUCAGGCAGACGCCUACAGUGAGCAACUGCAGGUUAAGUGCUUGUCUUUGUAUUCAUAGAUGGUGAAAGUCUGCCUCCACCUCUGGUGGGGGGAGGUGGUUGUCGACAUACUGCGUCUACCCACAAGAGGGAGACAAGUCCACAAAAAUGCAGAAUGCGUUAUUUCAAUUCAACCACUUUGGUGUUAAACUUUGAUCUUGUAAUGAGACUGGGAGGGGAAAAAAACUUCAAGAAGCUUAUUUGAUUCCUCGCAAUAGAGAAGUCACUAGAAAUAUUGUACAGUAAAACAUUUGAAGCUUUGAUGGCUUUGAGAUCAUAAAUGAAGCAAAAGAUGAGAAGACUGUGUGGAAGAAGACUCCAGUGCUGACCUGCUCCUGUGCUCUGCAGUGUGAGGUAGUUGGUUGUAUGGUUUCGCAUAAUAAAAAGCCUGGAGAUAACUGUACAACCUUCUAGCUUUCCCUGCGGAGUCACCCAGACUUCACCUGAAUGCAUCCACAUCGUGCCUCUUGAUGUGGUAAGUAUGAAGAAGAGCACAAAAAAUAAGUGACUUCCUUUUUUAAAGUGGUAAUGAGUUUUCAGGGCUGUAGUUAUAUAUUUAUAUUCAACACUUUCAACAUUUUUAAAAUCUCUUUCAAGGUCUUUUGGACGAAACUUCUAUUGGCUUUUCAGUCAAUGACAAAAAGAUGCACCAAUGCUCCAUGCUGUACAGAUGGCCUCCGUUAUCAGAUCUAAAAUAAUUUCUCCUUCAGCAAAUUCAAUUUCACACCAAUAAUUAUAAUGAAACAUGGAGGGGGGUGGAGGGGGAAAAAAAGCUACAAAACCGCUUUAAAUCUAAUACAUCUGAAAUACUAAUCGGGUUUUGCUGUCGAGACCCACCUAAUCCAGACAUCAAUAUAUCCACCUUGCUCUGCAGUGCUCUUUGGUUUAUUUGGUGCAGUCCAACGGGGUAUAGAGCAAACUAUCAAUAGCGGUUUGUUUCUGGGCUUUUGUUAGCACGCCAUGCACAGGAACGCAGAAUAUUUCCUGAUGUCUUUGGGCUGGAAUGUGAGGAGCCUAAAAUGCAGGAAAAGUGGAAAUUUAAUAUUUCGUUGAGAGUCAGAAACAUUUUAUGGUCUGGUAGUGACGAUGUAAUUCAAGUUUGCCUUAAGUCCCUUAUUGUAACAGUUUGAGUAUAUGAACAGUUUGUGAAUAUGGCAGAGCUGUGGCUGUGUGUAUCCGGCUGACACAAGUCUCCAAAAUGAACUGUGCCCGCUGCUCUCUGUAGUCAUGGCAGAUAAUGACAGUGUGCCCAGACGUUCCUAUCAGCGUGUCCUCGAGCACAAGGCUGUAUGUGAACUUGCUUACUGCCUCCGCCUCCUUCCUACUGCUCCCUCACACCCCCACCCCCUUCCCCCACCCUGCUCUGUCCCCCAGUGUGUCUGGCUAGUGGCUCAGACACCCAGUAUCCGCAUUGCGUUGCAGUGCUCAAACGAGGAAGGGGGGGAGAGGAGGGGAAGAGCACAUAUCAGCAAUCUCUGCCGAUCGUUGCUCUUUUCUACGAGCACACAAAGAAACUACUCCCCAGCAUCUUCUGACUCCAAAUUCAGCUGUUUGCCACCUGCUGUUUUACAAAAAGGGCGGCUCAAGUCUCCAUUUGUCUUUAAUUUUUAGCACAUUUCACACCGUGACUGUUUUCCCCGUUAACACAUCUGUUUUCUGGUUACUUUAUUAGUCUGCCACUUCAAAUUCUCACUCGUUUUCUAAUUUCGGAGAUUCUUCUGUCAAAGGAGUUUACUGACACUUUUUUAAUAAUAAUAUUUAUUAUUAUAUAUAUUCAGGAGUUGUGGAAUAAAAGCUGCUGAAUUGAUGCGUAGAUGGUUCAGGCAGGUUGUGUUGAUGAAAGACUGAAGAAGAGAAGCAGCAGUGUUGUGGUCAGAGCGGCUGGGAGGUUAAUCACCUUUGGGCUUGCUGUGGCUUUGAUCCUCGCGCUGUGUAAAAUCCACAGCCUUGGUCUGAGCUCCCUACGCUGCCUCUUCCACCCCCACACCUUCAUUCCCCUCUAUCCUGCACACACUCUGACAUAGAUGCAUGCGUGCACGAGGACAAAAGUGCGCACACACCUCAAACACACGCCCCUCCCUCUGAACACAUUGACUCUCUUCCAGAUGCACCGAGCACAGCAGCCCAAGUUCAAACGCACACGAAGUUAGACACCCACGUAGAGACACACUGCAUCAUGUGAACGUAGAGUUGGGGUUUUUUUGGGGGGAGGGGGGUUGUUGUUUGUUUUGUUUUUUUUGUUGUUUUUUUUCCCUUUUCAGGCGAGACGGGACGUCAGGCCUGGAAAAAAUGAAAGGGGGGGUUGGAAAGCGAGGAAGCAAGGGUGCAGAGAUGAGGAGGGAAGGAUGAAAAUGAGGGGUAGGGCUGAGAUGAAGCAGGGGGAGGCGGGGACAGAGUGAUAGAGGGUGUUCAAGCAGGAGAAGAGAGCGAUAGCUGGAGAUACUGCAUGCUUGCAUAAGUGUCUGCCUGUGUGUGUGUGAGAGAGUGAAUGUUUGUAUGUAGGUGACACAGAUUUAUGAAGGGGAGGGGGUGGGGGGGUCAUAGCGCUGUUGGUGGUUACUGGGUGGUGGUGGUGGUGGUGGGAAGUGGGGUUAUUGGUACAGCACCAGAUAAUGGAAUCAAUGCAAUCGUCUGUUUUUUACUGUGGUGUACCUGCCUCAUAGUCUGUUCGGACUCUAAUCGCCUGGAGAAUUAAUGAUGUGACUUGGCAGAGGGAAACGGGUACAGAGCAGAGCCAGGGACAGCGCCUGAGAGAGGGAUAGAGGAAGAGGAGAGACAAAAAAAGAGCAGAGCGAGAGAUGGAGGGGUAGCGAGAGGGGAAUAGCUUUUCUGUUCGCCGUCGCCGCUCUGUACUGCACUCAGAGGAAAAGGAAGACUGAAGAUGAGGCAGGAUAGGUUUUAUCAAGCGCUGUUCUUUACCGCUGGAUUAAUUGGCUUUUUUUUUUUCUGUAAGAGGCAAGAAUGGAUCAAUAACUCAUCGUAAGAGUGUGUGCGCUUAUACCUGUUCUGUGUACAUGCACUUGUUGUAUGCGUGUUCACAGGGAAUGAGUGUGUUCAUGUAGGGACCACCAGGCAAACAAAUGGAUUUGAUCCAGUUCUGUCGGACGAGACGAUCGGACUGCAUCGGAAUCGGUAACCAACAAUGGUAACGUCUCAUGUGACGCAUCAAUUGUCAUUUUAAAGUAUUUUUUUUCUUUCCCCGUAAUGUAAGAUGGCAUGUAUCUAACAUAAUUGCAUAAUAGUGGCGUAAACAUGACAUGCUUAUGAAUUAACCACAAAAAGAUGGCACACGUCACUGCAGUCCAUUACGUAGAAUUGACGGACACCUGACUGCGAGCAGCUCUUGGUGUGCUUCGUUGUCCCUGAGACCCUUAACCUGUGAUGAUAUGAAAGGUCACAGGUGAGGUCCUUGGGAACAAAGCUGCAUGCAUUUGCUUCUGGAUGCCAAAAACAAUGUUCUUUAAUAAAGACCAGCAAAAGUAAAAGCUCCAGAGUGUGCAGAAUGAUCUCCAGAGAGUUUCCUAACCUUCCCACUCAUCCUGGAAAAGCUGAGAAGAGACAGCAUGGUUCUCUCCAGGGGGCAGAACCUUUUGGCCGGCUUUGUGCUCUGAGUAUCAGCCAUCUUUUAAUAAAGACAGCCAAUGGUCGUGACCCCGAUAUGAUUCGCACAGGACUUCUUUAACUCCAGAGAUGGAAAACUACAACAUUGGAACCUUUAGGGAGAGUUUUAAGCUCCUCAUGGCAGCUGAAAAUUUGUGCGAGUUCCCUUUUAACACAUUCCUGAAAAUGAUAGGGAAUUAUUCAUGUUUCUUUUCUACACUUUAAGACUAAAUUAGCUCUUUAGGUUAACAGAAAACUGGCAAAUUUUAAGUUAGAUGUUGGUACAUCCAGUAUUUUUAUGGAUGUGAUGUGUUAUUGUAUUUAAAUGCCUUGUGAAUCCAAUAAAUAUAAGAGCACUUGAAAGCAUUUCAAACUAAUAAGCUGUGUUCCUUUAUCUUGUGGGAUACUUUUUCAACAUUUCAUACCUGUGUAAGAAAGAUCGACAUGUGACUCAAGGCUUCUGCAGAUAAUGCAAGUAAAACUUUCCAGGUGACUAAAAAUGAAAGCGAUGCAGCCUUCUUUCAGCCUCUGACGCUCAGCCAGGGUGGCUCUGUGUUCCCUGGCUCGCAGCCCUCCAUGUGUUUGUGCAUCCCAGGACAGUUGACAUUGAUUGUGCAGGAGACAGACUGAGACACAUUAGUACGCAGCUCGCUCCUGCUGCUGAAAAACGCAUUAACUGGCUGCAUUGGGAGCCCUGUCUGGUAACCAUGGCAAAGCACACAGGCGGGGAGGAGGAGGAGGGCUGAGACGGGGCAGUGGGUUCACCGUGCAGCCUCCCAGGGGUUGUCUUUCUCAAACGCGCCUUUCCUUUCCUCAGGCCACGUCUGUCAUUUUCUCUCAGCCUCUCUCCGUCUUUUGAACUGACAGCUCCCCUCCUCACACAUAAACACAUUUGCAUAUUUCUUUUUCUCCUCACAUUCUUCUGAUUGAUGGUGACCUCACCGAUCUGCCCUUACUUCAUACUCCACCCCCUUAUCCAACUUCCCAGCACAACAUAAUCUGCCUCCAAUUUACUUUUUUUCCCCACCAAAUGCCUUUUUCUUUGUCUAUGUGGUUCCUGCUCGUAGAACAAUUACUUCCCCCCCCCCCUUCCUCUCAUUUUCAACCAAAGUAGCUGAUCAUUGUCCAUGUAGCAGGUAACUUUUCUGUUCUGCUUCAGCUCUAACACUUCUUCCUGCAUGGGAUCAAAGUUUAUCUAAAGUGCGUCACACCCUCCUCAAAUCACAGUUCAGCCUUUCUUUUGUGGGCCUUGAUUCUUUUUGUGGAAACUUCUGUAAGUACAUAAAGAGUCCACUUUGUUACUUCUGAAUAAAACUUUGUACAUUUAAGAGGAGUCUUUUCUUUAUUUCAUACACGCGUGAGCGCUUCUAUAAGAGCAGCGGUUUUAUUGUUCUGGAGCAUGCAGGUGAGUGUUAACAUGCCCUAUUCUUUCCUGGAGUGGGCAUCUUAGCAAAUUUACCUCGAGGUUAGACAGCAAAGCUUUGAAAUGUAGCGUGCUGGGGUUUCUGUGUGAAGUGUUUGUUUUAUAUUUUUUCUUUUGAAGACUACAGGCCACUGCAUGUUAAAGUUCAUAACAGCUCGCUUGGAAAAGGACCGACUUGUUUGGAAAUGUUUCAAGAGACUUCUCUCUAAAAAGAACAUGGCAGCAUGGUUUGAACAAACCACCCGACCUCUGGAGCAAUGUCCUUUGGCCAGAUGAGACCAAAGUAGAGAUGUUUGUCCAUGAAGAACAGAGAGAACCAUACGUGGCAUAUCAACUCACCACCUCAUACCAGCUGUCAAGCACAGUGGUGGAGGGGUCGUGAUUUUAGCUUGUUUUGCAGCAACAGGACAUGUGCACGUUGCAGUCACUGAGUCGGCCGUGCACUCAGAUGGCUUCACAUCGUCUAUAAACAGCUAAAAGAUGACUGAAAUUGGUUCAUUUAAUAUGAUAAUAAUCCCAAGAACUGGAGCAAAUCUACAGAAUGCCUAAAAAAGAAAAUCAAGGUGUUGCAAUCCAAAGUAAAGUAAUGCAAAGAGUAAAAAAUAAAAUGUGAGACUAACUCUUUUAGCUGAAGACGCUUGUAAAGCUACAGAGUCCUUUUAAAAAAAAAAAAACUUGGUACAAGAAAUUAAACAUUUUGUGCAAACUAAAAACAUUUAGAUAUCAUUGUGUUGUUGAAUAAAGUGUCAAACGUUAAGCUCCAGUGAAAAGGUGUUUUAUUAUAGGGAUCUUGUUUUGAGGCACAAAAAAUAAAGGACUUUGUUCUAAACCUCUUACUCGAGUUGCUGGAUGCAGAGAUUUUGCUACAUUGAUUAAAUGCAUUGCACAUGCUUAAUGCUUGGCACGAUGAAUAAUAGUAAGUGACUUGUCUUACACUAUAAUAUGUGAAAGCAUUUUAGUCCUUCUUUAACAUGUUUUAUGCCUGUGUGCACCAUUACCAGCUAACAUUUUCUAAAAUCUGCAAAUGAGCCUCUGGAGGGCAGAGCUGAGUUAGUCACUCUUCACCGGGAUCCAUCUGGUGAAGUACUCUUAUACUUUAAUUAAAACUGAGACAACACACUCGUACCCAUCAUUUACUAAUGAAGAUAAUGAAAACAGCACUUGUGAAUAUUUAUGAAAUGUAUAGAACUAAAAUAUGAAACGCAAAACUAGGCUUUAAAUAAAGUAGCCCUUCUUUAUACUUUAGUCACGGGGAAAAAACAACUUGGUUAGCUGGUACGAAAAAAAAAAAAAAGACUUCGAAAGGGUGAAAAAUAGGGUUUA